AUAUCUCUCUGUACGGGAAGGAUGAGAAGCUUCGACCAAGGUUCGAUUCGAGCGCAGCGAGAAAGCGUUGCCGCAGGCAACGACCCGAAGGGCGAAGCGCGCAGCGCU
rnacentral:sRNA from 1 species